ACCAUGUCUUUCUACCCCAGGGCUGGGCAAACUUUUUGGCCCAAGGGUCACAUCUGGGUACAGAAAUUGUACGGCGGGCCAUGAACGAUCACGAAAUUCGGGGCUGGGGUGCGGGAGGGGGUGAGGGCUUUGACUGGGAGUGCAG